rnacentral:rRNA from 1 species
AGGAUCAUUAUUGAAAUAAACCUGGCGGGUUGUUGCUGGUUCCUCAGGGAGCAUGUGCACACCUUGUCAUCUUUAUAUCUCCACCUGUGCACCUUUUGUAGACCCUCCAGGUCUAUGUUGCUUCAUUUACCCCCAAUGUAUGUUGAUAGAAUGUCGUGGCUAUGAAAUCUAUACAACUUUCAGCAACGGAUCUCUUGGCUCUCGCAUCGAUGAAGAACGCAGCGAAAUGCGAUAAGUAAUGUGAAUUGCAGAAUUCAGUGAAUCAUCGAAUCUUUGAACGCACCUUGCGCUCCUUGGUAUUCCGAGGAGCAUGCCUGUUUGAGUGUCAUUAAUAUAUAUCAACCUCUCUUCUUGAGUGGCUUGGAUGUGGGGGGUUUUUUGCUGGCCUUUUAAAAGUUCAGCUCCUCUGAAAUGCAUUAGCAGAACAACCUGUUCAUUCAUUGGUGUGAUAAUUAUCUACGCUAUUGGAUGUGAGGUGGCUCAGCUUCCUAACAGUCUUUUGGACAAUUUACCAUUUUAUGUGACCUCAAAUCAGGUAGGACUACCCGCUGAACUUAAGCAUAUCAAUAAGCGGAGGAAAAGAAACUAACAAGGAUUCCCCUAGUAACUGCGAGUGAAGCGGGAAAAGCUCAAAUUUAAAAUCUGGCGGUCUUUUGGCUGUCCGAGUUGUAAUCUAGAGAAGUGUUAUCCGCGCUGGACC